rnacentral:rRNA from 1 species
GACGAACCGUGCGAACGUUGUUCGGAAUCACUGGGCUUAAAGGGCGCGUAGGCGGUUGAUCAAGUCUGGGGUGAAAUCUUUCGGCUUAACCGGAAAAGUGCCUUGGAUACUGAUCAGCUGGAGGGAGGUAGGGGCAGCUGGAACUUCCGGUGGAGCGGUGAAAUGCGUUGAUAUCGGAAGGAACGCCGGUGGCGAAAGCGAGCUGCUGGACCUUUUCUGACGCUGAUGCGCGAAAGCUAGGGGAGCAAACGGG